CCCUUAGAGUUUGAUCCUGGCUCAGAAUCAACGCUGGCGGCGUGCCUCAGACAUGCAAGUCGAACGAUUAAAGCUCCCUUCGGGGAGUGCAUAAAGUGGCGCACGGGUGAGUAACACGUAAGUAAUCUACCCUCGAGUGGGGAAUAACAUCGGGAAACCGAUGCUAAUACCGCAUAAUGCAGCGGCACCGCAAGGUGACAGUUGUUAAAGAUUUAUCGCUUGAAGAGGAGCUUGCGGCAGAUUAGCUAGUUGGUAAGGUAAUGGCUUACCAAGGCUACGAUCUGUAUCCGGUCUAAGAGGACGGUCGGACACACUGACACUGAAUAACGGGUCAGACUCCUACGGGAGGCAGCAGUCGGGAAUUUUGGGCAAUGGGGGAAACCCUGACCCAGCAACGCCGCGUGAAGGAUGAAGUAUUUCGGUAUGUAAACUUCGAAAGAAUGGGAAGAAUAAAUGACGGUACCAUUUAUAAGCUCCGGCUAACUACGUGCCAGCAGCCGCGGUAAUACGUAGGGAGCAAGCGUUGUUCGGAUUUACUGGGCGUAAAGGGCGCGUAGGCGGCAGAUCAAGUCAGCUGUGAAAUCUCCGAGCUUAACUCGGAACGGUCAGCUGAUACUGUUUUGCUAGAGUGCAGAAAGGGCAAUCGGAAUUCUUGGUGUAGCGGUGAAAUGCGUAGAUAUCAAGAGGAACACCUGAGGCGAAGGCGGGUUGCUAGGCUGACACUGACGCUGAGGCGCGAAAGCCAGGGGAG
rnacentral:rRNA from 1 species